AACGAACGCUGGCGGCAGGCCUAACACAUGCAAGUCGAACGGGACCUUCGGGCCUAGUGGCGGACGGGUGAGUAACGCGUGGGAACGUGCCCUUUGGUUCGGAAUAGCCCCGGGAAACUGGGAGUAAUACCGGAUAAGCCCUACGGGGGAAAGAUUUAUCGCCAAAGGAUCGGCCCGCGUUGGAUUAGGUAGUUGGUGAGGUAAUGGCUCACCAAGCCGACGAUCCAUAGCUGGUUUGAGAGGAUGAGCAGCCACACUGGGACUGAGACACGGCCCAGACUCCUACAGGAGGCAGCAGUGGGGAAUCUUAGACAAUGGGGGAAGCCCUGAUCUAGCCAUGCCGCGUGAUCGAUGAAGGCCUUAGGGUUGUAAAGAUCUUUCAGUGGGGAAGAUAAUGACUGUACCCACAGAAGAAGCCCCGGCUAACUCCGUGCCAGCCGCCGCCGUAAAAC
rnacentral:rRNA from 1 species